CCAACCAGCCAAGCAUUGAAAUUUAAUAGCCCUGGCCUCUCUGCAUCCCAUGAUUAGGCCUGUGGUGAAAGCCCAUGUGUUGCUCUGCUGGCUGGAGGCAAAUUCCUCCGCAGGGCCGGUGCAGGCGGCUCGGGGUGCCUGCUCCCCGCCCUGUGCCGUGUCCCAGCUGCUCCCUGCCCUGUGCCAUGUCCAUUGGGCACUGAUGGAGCUCUCAGACAGCCCCGGGCACUCCGAGCCUCGCUGCUCCCUCCCCUGGGAUGGGCAGAGGGGAUGAGAGCUGGGCUGGGCUGGGCUGGGCUGGCAGCCCCGAGACACACGGAGACACAACGAGGGACACUGACCCAGAGGCAGGAACCGAGGCUGUGCCCUCCCGGGGCAAGCAGGAGCACACCAGGAAGAGCUCCUGUCCUGCGCUGGAAGGGGCUGGCAGAGCCCAGACCCGCCGGUUUCUUGCAGCAGUUUGUGGCAGGUGAUGGAAAUGCUGCAGCCAGGGAGGAGAUCCGAGGAUCCCACAGCGGUGAGCCCGCCGGGAUCGGCUGCCGCUCCCAACACCGCUCCUCGUUCUUAAUGUCCCCAGCAAGGCGAGAAUUGAUUAUUCAGCGGCUCCCAGGACGCCUCGGAGCAUCCGUGCCCGCGGGGCUGUGGCUGCCCCGGCCCCGAGGUGCCGCACCCGUAACGCCGUGCGGUGAUGGAUGGAUUCAUGUCGGCGAUGGAUGGAUGGAUGGAUUCGUGUCCCCUCUCCAGGGAACCCCGAGCGCUGGCACGGGGCUGAAUCCCAACCCAGGAGAGAUCGGUUCCUGCUGGAAGCAAGAGGGAGCCACGAGGGGAGGGUGGUGGCAGCGCUGGGGUCCCUGGGGAGAUCCCUGUGCCACGCUCCAUGCCAGGGGAUGGCCACAGGGCUGACCUGGCCUUGCCAAAGCCACUGGGACGGUGGCACCGGUUCUCCUCCACGCAGAUGGAAACUGGGAGCUGGGGGGGGAUAACCCUGGGGAGUUUCACCCCAAAUCCCACCCUGGGCAGCUCCACUGAAGGAGGAGCAGCAGUGGCUGGGAGCCAUCACCCCGUGUGCAGCCACCUUGUUUGGGGGGACCUUAUGGGGACAGCGAUGGAGCAAAAUCCCCGGAACAGCCCAGGCACCUCCACCAGACAUCCCGGGGUGUUUCACCAGACAGCCCAAGCGUAUCCAGGGUGGCAGGAUGGGCUGCAACCCUGGCCUGGAGAGGCAGGAAGGUGCCUGCAGAGGGUGACAAGGGGGGACCAGGCACCCACACCCCCGGUGAUGCUCAGAUGGGACCCUGUGGAAGCAGGGACUCAAUCCCUGUCGGGAGACAUGAAUGGCCAUGUUGGGAGAUCGCAGGCACCGGCAAGAGGCUUAACUUUAAAAAAAAAAAAAAAAGGUUUAUUUAUUUCAAGAUCUUA